rnacentral:rRNA from 1 species
ACUCCUACGGGAGGCAGCAGUGGGGAAUUUUGGACAAUGGGCGCAAGCCUGAUCCAGCAAUGCCGCGUGAGUGAUGAAGGCCUUAGGGUUGUAAAGCUCUUUUACCAGGGAUGAUAAUGACAGUACCUGGAGAAUAAGCUCCGGCUAACUCCGUGCCAGCAGCCGCGGUAAUACGGAGGGAGCUAGCGUUGUUCGGAAUUACUGGGCGUAAAGAGUACGUAGGCGGUGAUUCAAGUCAGAGGUGAAAGCCUGGAGCUCAACUCCAGAACUGCCUUUGAAACUAGAUCGCUAGAAUUAUGGAGAGGUUAGUGGAAUUCCGAGUGUAGAGGUGAAAUUCGUAGAUAUUCGGAAGAACACCAGUGGCGAAGGCGACUAACUGGACAUAUAUUGACGCUGAGGUACGAAAGCGUGGGGAGCAAACAGGAUUAGAUACCCUGGUAGUCA